UAAAGUACUUCCGCUUCCAUAGGCGGAGCUGGAAAAGUGGAGGCGGAAGUGACUGAUCAAUUCAGGGGCGUGAGAAUUCUAUGGGUUGAUUGGGCUCCUCCUCCAUUCAACUGGUGGCUGGGAUGAGCAGGAAUGGCAAAGAAGACAUCACUCAUAUGUCGGAGGUCUGCACUAUAACUAGAACUCAAGCAAGCAAGAUUGGAGUUUUGCUAAGACACCAUAGAAGAACAACUAAAUGAUGCUUUCCUAUUCUCUUCUCUGACCCCAUGAUAUGGCCACCCAGACUCCCUGAGGAGCUCUGGGAUGUAUGCCUCUCAGAUCAUCUUAGAGUCCUGGACUGGGACUCAGAGCCAGAAGACUGACGUGAUGAGAAGAUUGUUCCUGCUGGCCAGCAUGGUAUUUCCUUUGGAGGAUCAGGAGAGAUUUUGGAUGAUUCUUAUUCCCAUAUGACAUAGGAUGAGCUCAGGGCUCUGGCUUUGGAAAGAGUUGGGGUUCAACUCCAGUCCUUGGCCUUGUGAGGCAUGAAUGGGCCCAUGCGUCCACUCAGGCCCAACUAUUUUCUAAUUGUGGUGCCACCUGUGGUCCAUGGCACUAAAGGGCUGUGGUGAUGGCAGCAGGUAUCUUUAACCCUGUAAGCAUAGUCUCCAACUGACAACCAGGGCACCAUCCCAAUCUCUCUGCAGGUUCUGUGCCAGAUAUCAGGCACUUCUCCUGGGAUGGUCUCACCUAUCUCUCUAACCCUCCUUUCUGAGAGCUUUUGAAACCAUUUUUCUGCAACACUAAGGGCCCAUUCUAAUCAAUGACUUCUGCUUCUGACAGAUAUAGCAAUGCCUUUCUCUUCCUGGAUGAUCUUAAAUUGUGCAUUCUGAAUGGCCCUUCCUUCAAUGAAUGGGAUUUUUUUUUUUUAAUCAUGCCAUUGGGCCCUUCAUGCAUUCUCCUUGCUGGUGGUGGUGGCAUGCAGAAAGCAGGGAUGGUCAACAUAAAAAGAGAUCACACUUCAGGAAUGCAGUGAAAAUGGCUUCAUAAGUUCAAGAGAAGACACAGCUAGAAGAAGUAUUUUCCUGUUUCUAGGGUGUAAAAAAUUCUAAACAGUAAAUUUAAUAAUCAGAAAAUGAA